rnacentral:rRNA from 1 species
AGCGAACGCUGGCGGCAGGCCUAACACAUGCAAGUCGAACGGACCCUUCGGGGUUAGUGGCGGACGGGUGAGUAACACGUGGGAACGUGCCUUUAGGUUCGGAAUAGCUCCUGGAAACGGGUGGUAAUGCCGAAUGUGCCCUUCGGGGGAAAGAUUUAUCGCCUUUAGAGCGGCCCGCGUCUGAUUAGCUUGUUGGUGGGGUAAUGGCCCACCAAGGCUACGAUCAGUAGCUGGUCUGAGAGGAUGACCAGCCACAUUGGGACUGAGACACGGCCCAAACUCCUACGGGAGGCAGCAGUGGGGAAUCUUGCGCAAUGGGCGAAAGCCUGACGCAGCCAUGCCGCGUGUAUGAUGAAGGUCUUAGGAUUGUAAAAUACUUUCACCGGUGAAGAUAAUGACUGUAGCCGGAGAAGAAGCCCCGGCUAACUUCGUGCCAGCAGCCGCGGUAAUACGAAGGGGGCUAGCGUUGCUCGGAAUUACCGGGCGUAAAGGGAGCGUAGGCGGACAUUUAAGU